rfam:Felis catus isolate Cinnamon breed Abyssinian chromosome B2, whole genome shotgun sequence.
GCCUGGGUGGCUCAGUUGGUUGGGGGACUGACUUUGGCUCAGGUCACGAUCUCAUGGUUUGUGGGUUCGAGUCCCACGUCGGGCU